CUACAAUCUUUCUUUUUCACAAGAUGGGGUAGCAUCUGUGUAUACACCACCACCCUACUAAGUCAGAGAUAAUUAAUUAGCUAACGUUUAUGGAUUACAAAGCGACCAGAUCAGAGAUCUUCUUCAUCAAAUGUAUGAUACCUAUUUCCAAGCACGAUGAAGAGAAAUUGAGAAUCAACUGUUGGAAUGGAGAACAUCAAUUUAGUGAAUAAAGCAUGUAACGGCAAGGGUCAUAUUGUUUGAAAAUAUUAAUAGUGUAAGAUGAAGAAGUUGCGGAGCGAGAACAAAUCGUGUACUAUAUGCGAACUUGCGUGAUCAAUCAAUGAACAGGGAAAUUGCGUGAAUGAUGAGACCGAAUCGUUAAAUUCACCACCAAGAGAAUUUAGUAUCCCAUGAACUAAUCCAUUUUAAAAAAAAUAUAGUUAUACUUGAAGAAUCCUCAAUGCCCUGUAUUCUAUAUAUAAUAAGCCACAAUGCAACUAUCAUUGUAGCUAUCUUGUUAGCUUUCAACCAAAAGCUAACAAGAUUUUUAGUUACAUAUUUAUUAUGUCAUUGUAUGAGCUA